AGGGCCUAGUUGUCGCUGAGAGGCUGUUAUCCCUUUGGUGGAAGGCGGAGAUAAAAACAUGAUUUGUGAAGCCAGGGGGGAAACAAAAAGCAGACGCUUAUGUCUGGCUCCAUGACUGUUGUUUAAAGUGAGCAGAACUGAAGACCACUUUGAUAUAAAUUUAGUGAUAAUGGGAACUGCAGACGCUGGAGAAUUCAAGAUAAUAAAGUGUGGAGCUGGAUGAACACAGCAGGACAAGCAGCAUCUUAGGAGCACAAAAGCUGAUGUUCCAGGCCUAGACCCUUCAUCAGAGUUACUUUGAUAUAAAUUUAAUUUACUUUAUUAAUCAAAACACUUCGGGUAAAGCCACUGUGUCGCUGAGACUCGAGGCUCCAGGCUCAGGAAAACGACUCUUUAAGCAGCAGCACUAAUGUCUCUGUCUCUGCUGGACCAAGGGGACACUUCCCAGAAGUAUGGAUCCUGCUGAGAUUGAGAGUGGAGGAUAAAGAAAAAUGUAGGAACCAGAGAGGUAUUUCUCGAAGCAAAGUACGAAAAGCUUUUCGGCCUCACCAGACUGCAGAUUCUGAACAUAUCCACUCUAUAAUCCUGUGAUACAGGAUUUAGUAUACAGAUUGACAGGACGGUCCCGAUCCCAAACGCCACCUUUACUGUUCCUCUGAUGCUGCCUGGCCUUCUGCGCUCCCCGAGCUCCACAAUGUUCUCACUUUGAAUCGGGCGUCCUUACGGAACUGGGCCAAUUACAAUCAAAAUCGCCUCAAACCAGCAGCUGCAAAAGAAAAGUGACCUACAGAGACCGUCACCAUUAUAAUGUCUUUUAUCAGUUUUCGCCUCAGCAUUUGAUCACCUGAGCAGCGGCAGUCUAUUGAAGCUUCUGAAUAGACUGUGAAGCUACCUUGUAAGGUCUCGUUCCAGUGACAUAAAUGGAACAUUACCCUGGGUUGUGGACUACUGAACCGGUCCCAGUAAUAUGCCAGGAUCCUCUCACGAGAUACAAGUUGAUGCAUGGAUUGCACAAUAUUAAGCCAACGGGACCCAACAAAGUCUGCUGCUUUGCAGCUAAGGCACAUUCUUCACAGGAGCUGAAGACAUACCCAAAUAGGGUUACGACCCAUUGGGACAAACAUGUCAUGUCUUCAUUGAUAUUUUCAAAUCCAAACAAAAGCAGCUCAUUUACGUAAUAUGACAUGUGGAAAGAAAGGAUGCCCAAAUUACAUUAAAAACCAAGGAGAUAUAUGGCAUCAAUAUGAUGUAAGGAAAACAAAGGCUGGAAACAAUCAUGCAGACAUUGUAUACAAGGAUGUAAUUACUAAGGCUCUUCUGGUGCAGUGAUAGUGUCCUGACCUGAGGGCCAGGAGUUCUGGGUUCAAGCCCCUCCUGUUCCAGGGGUGUGUAACAUAUCUUAAAGGUUGAUUAGAAAACAUCUGCAAAAAUGUGAUUAUUACAAAUGGAUAAGAUUUGUGUUCGUUCUCUGUGGAAAUGUAUGCACAAGGAUAUUUACGAAAUUAACUGUUUCAGUCCUUUAAGUAUGGGGGCACAUACAGGUGCAUUCACAUCUUGCUUCAAACAGCUAAGCAUAAUGGUGGAACCGGAAAUAGAGAACAAAUGUAGAUGUUUCAGAUUUAACUAAUUCCUUUAGAUUAUUUACUGCCACGGGCAGUAAGUGAUUCUGAAUGGCAAACUCUUGCAUGCAACCAAAUCUUCAGAUACAUCCAUUGAUAUUUACUCCCAGAAGAAGCACAUGCUUCAUAUUGAACCAGUCAAGUGUUAAGGCAACAAUGUAAUUUUCAACCAUCAUUUGUUUUUGUUCCUGAUUCACAGCAUCCUCAGUUCUUUGGUUUUUAUAAUUAUGUUAACUAUUUCUCACAACAGUAAUCUGGGUUUGAAUAAGCACUGUGUUAAUGCAUCUCAGUGUUACAUAUCACAAUUGUUCUACUCACAUUUAAAACGGUAUAAUUUCUCCCUUAUUGGUGUAACAUGCAGCUUGAGGCUUUCCCAAUGAUUGAAUGUUCCCAAAUUCAAUUCAGUUUGAAAGAUUUUCCUCAACGACGAUAGCAUUUAAUUUUAAUUAAGGCAGCUUUUAUGAUGAUUAUGUGCUUGAGCUUUUAUAAACAAUUUCUGUACAAAAAUAUGAACUUAUGUAUACAAAACACAAAUUAGACCUUACACAGGCGACAGUAAGGCAACUGUGCAGUCCAGGGGCACAGGAAUAUGUACAGGACAACUUAAUCAGGCAACAUAAAUGCCUGUACGAUAGCUGACAAUCCAACAGUUUUUCUUCCAAGAACAAAUGGCUAAAGUAUUUACACCAUUGUUACAUUAUUGAGGAACAACUCUCAAUUCUCUGCUCCAAGUUAUUCCAGUAAAGUAGUUAUUCACAGCAAGUCAGUGUAAAUAACCAAAGACUUGUGCAUUUCAUAAAACAUGAAUUGCGUCGGGCCAGUCAUUCAAUACCCAUGGUGAUCAACUUGUUGCAAGACCUGGAGGGCAUUUUUGGAAAGGGGAGAAGAUCAAAAAACAAAUUUUUCUCUCAUAACAAAACAAAAGGUACUGCAUUAUAAGUUUUAAUACAGGUGUAGACCCUGAUUUAUUCUUCUCUGCUGAGAUUGACUUCAUGCUAUAGUAAAAGAAAAAGCUUGGAAUUACAUGCACUAAAAGCUGACGUGAAUGAUAGCCUAAGGUUUCGCUUUCCUGUUCACUAAUCAGUAUGUCUAUUCAGACACAAGUGAUUUCCAUGCAGAAAAAUAAGAAUCAUGCUUUUGUAUUCGGUUUACACUGAUCUAACAAUUAAACUGUGCAAUGCAAGAUGUAUUUCACCUAUCCCCUCAUUGCUGCCCUCCUAAAAUUCUUAAUGACACCAAGGGAUGGUUUCACCUGCUAGAAACAUUCCAACAACUUGUCCAAAUACUGAACUUGGACCUGAGAUGUUUUGAGCCAAGCGGCACUUUUAAUGUUGACAUGGGGGAUGUAUUCCAUACCAUCCUGAAUUUGACUAUGACACUAAAGACAUUCAGCAUUUUUUCUUUCUUGAGCCAAAUUGGUGUGUGGGAUUUUAACUUAGAAAAUAUUCUAACAUUUUACAUAGAACAUAGAACAAUACA